rnacentral:lncRNA from 1 species
GAUUGCACAACAACGAAUCAAUAGGUGGUUUAUACCAUCUGAAAAUGACAAUAGAUCCGAAUCUCUCUGAUAUAUUUGAUGUUUUCGUCUUUUAUUUUGUCAUUAAAACUAAAUUAAAUGCUUAAUUGCAGCACAACAAUAAUUAACUCUACAUUAUUCUGUAGAAUGCAAAUGAUUGAAAAAGGACGAAUUAUUAUAAAUAUGUUUACUAGACUAUUUUGAUCCUUCUGAUGCCUAGAUAACACUGAUUAAGCAUCUUAGACAUAAAAAUAAAUCGACAAGAGCCAAAGUAGAGUGUUCAAUUGAUGGAGACAAAUAUGCUAUUCAUUUAUUACAUGAUUUGGAUUUCAAUAAGAUUUUGUUCUAGAAGGAGAUGGACAAAAGGUUAUCAAAAUGCUGGACUGUCGUGCUCCAUUUUUCACGAUGGAAAAUAAAAGGAAUUUAUAAAAAGAUGUGAUUUUAUUUUAAAACAAGUGAAAAAGGACCUAGAAUGGGAUUUAAAAAAAAUGCGACAAUUUGGGUCCAAAAUUUAGUCUAAAAGGGUUUUUAAGAAAAAUAGGAGUCGUCACUUGGUAUUGAGUUUUGGUGUAUCAAGUCACCCAAAAAUAAAGUAAAAUAAAAUAAAACCCUUUUUGACAACUCCAGAUCUUUGAAAACAAGAGAAAAUGAAUUCGGGAGUCACGGUUGAAGAAAGGGAAGUCAAAGGUUCGAUUAACUCAAACCUAAGGCACCCUUUCAACCUAGUCUAAACUAGUUGCGAGGUUUAGUCAAAAUUUUCCUAAUCUAACCCUUAAUUUUAUCAUAUUUGGAUGUUUCCUAUAUGAAUGCAAAUCUAAAUUUAUAAAAAUAUCGAAAAGGACAAAAUGUUCAUUCAAGGAUUUAAUUGAACCAAUUGCAUUAAUUGCAAAGGGCAAAAUAAUUCCUUGAAGGUGCCACGAGUAUGCAAAUGAUAAAAAUAAAAGAAAAGAAAUUAAAUUAAAUUAUAUACAUAGAUAUAAGUGAUCAAAGAAAAAUGAAUGCAAUAUAAAAGGUAGGCAAAAACUCGUGACAUAAUUUUCUUAUAUAGGGAUUAACGGGGUAUUUAAACUAAAAAGUUAUAAUCACUCAUUUCCCAUGUUUGAAAAAUAAUUCUCCUAAUAUGCACAAGCAAAUAAGCUAACUUAUUAUACAAUGUCCUAAAUGAAAUUCAAUUCUAAAUGACAUGAUUAACACAUAUAGAGGAUAGGGGAUAAUAUAAUAUGGAAUAUCAUGCAAAUGAAAAAAAAUCCUAAAAAUGAAAAUAUGCGUGAAAAUGUAGUAAAUAGCACACAAAGAUAAAUCUAGCGCAAGACAACCUAAAGGGUCUAGUGUUGGACUAGCCCAUUUCUAAAAAUCUAGCGUUGGACUAGCAAAUAAGCGGAUGGAGAAGCCACAACUAGCGUUGAAUUAGUGUGGUGACGUCAUGCAUUAAUAGUACAUAGUAAAACAAAUAAAGCAUAAAUUAAAACAAAUAAGCACAUAAGAGCACGUAACACAUAACACGUAAAUAUAAUAUCUAGAUGCAAAAAAAAAUCCUAAGGAAAGCGGGUAAGGCACAUAACACACAACCUACCUAUUACAUCGGGGAGCCUAACUACAACUCUAAAAGGAAAAAAUAUAAUAAAACAAAUUUAAUUAUCCUAUCUAUUACAUUGUUGAGGUAUUUAAAUGCCUCUCAAAUAACUAUAAAAUUAACUAAACAAACAUAAGAAAAUUUAAAUGAACAUUCAAAUCAAAUAAACAAAACAUAUAAAAAUAUAUAAACACAUAGGAGCACGUAGGAGCACAUAAGAGCACGUAGUUAACAUUGAAAUAAUAAUAGGGGUACCUCCCUUUUGAAGCGAUGACUAAAUGGGAGUCAAAUUGCCCUAUUUAUACUCAAAAUGAACAAAAGAUUCAUGGCACCAAUUUAAUUAAAAAUAAUAAUAAUGAUAGAAAAUACUAAAUUAACCUUAACAUAUCAAAUGUAAGGAAAUUUAAGAACAUCUAAAAUUACAAGUUAAAUAUACUCAAAAGAAACAUAAUUAGCUAUUAAAGAAAAGUAACAAUUAUAAUGAAGAGAGACAAAACUCACCAGAGACUAAAUUGCAAAAAUUGAAAACUUUUGGGGACAAAAAUUAUAUUUUUCAAAGUUUAGGGGUCAAAAUUAAAUGAAAGAUAAAACUUAGAGGCCAAAGUGCAAUUAAUUUAAGGACUCAAGUGAAAGAAAUUUAAAAUGUUUUGGGCCACGGUGAAACUACUCCAAAAAUUAGGGGCUAAAGUGCAAGUUCGUUUCUGAUUUGGGCAAGAAAAGGGCAUCGGGCCUCCCUUUUUAUUUUACUUGGGCCGAACCUACCUAAGCCCAGCUGAACGCCUAAGCCAAAACACACAGGCCAGCCCGUCUUUUAUCACUCAAACCCAGCCAAAAUACAUGGGCUCCAACCUCUUAGCCCAACGGAAAACCCAAAAGAUAAACCAGAACCCAAGUCAAAACCCAACUAAAAAAAAACAAGCCCACUACAAAAAAUUAGCCCAAACCAUUUUUCUUUCUUUUCUUUUUCUUCUCUUCUUCUUCUUCUUUCUUUUCUUUCUUCCCCGUUCGUUCCUCCUCCUUCUCUGACCAUCUGAGGCUUACUUCAGUUGGCGGCCAUGGUGGCCGCAGGUGGCGCCGCCGUCGCCGCCACCUCCGGCGGCAGUCGCCGGCGACCUCUCUGGUCACCAAAAUUUAUCAAAAUACACACCCCAACUCGAUUUUUCGCAUAGAUUCCGUUUUGAAGUUAGUUUUUACAAAAAAAGAAAGAAAAGUGGCCAAAUGGCCGAAAAACAGCUGCAUUUUUUUAUUAUUUUUAGACCUUUAAACCUUCACCAAAAAUUCAUAAAAAUAUAUUACAAUACUCCUUAUAAUCUUUACAUUACAACUAUAAACUUAGCUAACAAGAAAACAACAACAAAAGACUACAUUAAGGCAAAACAGUUUCUAAAAUUUAUUUUUUUUAUUUUGGCAUUUUUUCAAACAAUUAACAUGCAUUCACAAAAAACACAUUUCCUUUUCCUCAAUCUAGUUCAUGCCAUUUCCCAAAUUCCAACAAUAUAACAACAAAAAUAAAAACCAGCAAACAAACGAAAUUAAUAUGCAACAACCACAAUAAAUAAACAGCAAAAGCAGGAGAAAUCAGACAUUGAAACAUGGAUGUAAUAUGAUGAAAAAAAACUAAAAAAAAAAUACCUCAAUGUAGGUGGUAAUCCCUUGAUCAAAAUGUUUGAUACAAUUUCCACGCCUUGAGCGUAUCUCCCUGACUCCCAAGGUUUCUUUCGUCUGGUCUUUUCUAUCCGUUGAGAGCUUCAGGAAAGCCAAAGUGGAGAGCUCCUUUUCUUUUUGCUGGCUUGCCUUCUGGUCUCCUGAAACUAGAGAGAGCCGAGGGAUGUAUUUUUGGGGGAGGAAGAGUGGAGAGCUUUUUUUUUUUGUGGCCUGUCUGAUUUUUCCAGAGAGAGCUGAGGGAGGAAAUUUGUAGCCAAAGUAGCUUUUUGUGUGUGUUUUCUCCUCUGCAAAAUGUUGAGUGUUGGCAAAGCCAAAAACUCAUGGCUAAGAGGGAGUCAAAUGGGUUUGGUUUCCUUCAAAAUGAUGGCUUCUGCCAAAUGAAAAGAAAAGCCCGUGGGAGUUGAGUGUAGAAUGGGUUGAUAGGGGUUUUGGUAGAGAAAAUGAUGAAAAUGUGUAAGUUCAGUAAUAAUUUGAUUUUGAUUUGAUUUUUUUUUAAUUUUUUUAAUUUAUUAUUUUUUUUGACUUUUCCUCUUCUUUUUUUUUUUAAAGAUAAAUCUACAAAAUAUACUUAAAAAUGCAGAAAAAUAAAUGACUUAUCAAAUAGAAAUAUUCAAGAAAACAUAAAAUUUGACAAAAAUUUGGUGUCUACAGCUUACCUCUCUUUGUCUAGGGUUUCAAAGAAAUUUAAGACAAAGACGUAGACACCAAAAAUGGCUAUUCUGUUUCUUUUAACUGCACCUAAGUUAAAACAACAAGCCAACACUUGGCUAUAAUUAUUGAGCAAAAGGAUGUAGUCAUAUUGCAGAAAACGUGAUCGGACUCAUGUAGAGUUGCCUACGUAUCCCGCCCUGGGAAUCAGGUCAAACGUAGUUCGAAUACACGUGAAACCCAAUGAAAUAAGUACAUUGACAAUCUGUGAUAUUUACAAAAAUUGAAAAAGUUUGAACUCUCAGAACUUCAAAACAUGAAAUACAAAAUGAAUGAUACGGCACAAUUAUUAAUCAAAUAAUGAAGAAAAACAGUCAGUGGAAUAAAAUCCAAGCCUGCCGAGGUUGGAAAGAUAAAACACAUGCCCAACGAAAAUAAAAAUGGUCAGUGGGAUAAAACUAGAGCCUGCCGAGGUUGAAGGGAUAAAAUUCAUGCCCAACGAAAAUAAAAACGGUCAGUGGGAUAAAACCCGAGCCUGCCGAGGUUGGAAGGAUAAGACCCAGCCCAACGAAAAUAAAAACGGUCAGUGGGAUAAAACCCGAGCCUGCCGAGGUUGGAAGGAUAAGACCUGCCGAGGUUGGAGGGAUAAAACCCAUGCCUAACGAAAAUAAAAACGGUCAGUGGGAUAAAACCCGAGCCUGCUGAGGUUGAAGGGAUAAGACCCAUGCCCAACAAAAAUAAAAACGGUUAGUGGGAUAAAACCCGAGCCUGCUGAGGUUGGAGGGAUAAGACCCAUGCCCAACGAAAACAAAAACAGUCGAAAUGAAAACACAAAUUCUAUGCAAUCGAACUGAAGGAUCAGAAUGCAUGUUGCUUAAAAAGUAAUAAACCAAGAAAACUUACUUGGUGGACUUGCAACUCUUUUGAUUUUUCAAACUUUAAAAGAAAGCGAAUAAUGAUUUUUUCGAAAAUGUAUAGCAACACUUGGAGCUCAAUCCUUCUACCGUUUGCCUCAGUGUGAAUCAUGCUUAAUUAAACUAGUAUUGUGUCACAUAAUUUUCCUGCAAAAAAGGAAGAAAACGAAACAGUUGUGAUGAAAAUACUGCCACCACCAUGUGAUCCCUUCGCCUUGAGAACCAUGUAAACAUGAGUUUCAGUAUCAACAAAUCGCUCCCUUAGGUUCAGUCGAUAACCCCCUUCAGAAUCUUUGCAACUGCUAAAUGUCAAUCGACCAUACUUUAUUAUUACAUGACCUUCGAUUUCAUGACUUCUUUGGGAUAAAUUAUAAGGGAUUGUUUUUUGAGUAAGACCCAAAAAAUGAAAAAAUAUAAACAAUUAAAAAAAAGUAGUAUUCAUCAUGCAAUAAUGCUAAUAUGAAAUAGACAAUGAUACACAAUAAAUAAAUGAAAUAGCAAAUAGAAUAGUAAAACAAAAUUGUUGAAUUUUUGAAUAUAGGCCCAAGGAUCAAAAUUUGGAUUCGUAUUUAGAGGAUGGCCUUUGAUGAGGAAAAAUGCUCCAUCUGACCCUUUCGUAGUCAUCCAUUUUGGAAUUCAUUGUCGGCAAAAGAACAACAGUAUGAAAGAGACCCAAAUCAACAUAGUCACCAGCUUUCAAACCUCAACAUCUUCUUCUCUGUUGCUGAUUCUCUUAUACUCCAAAACCCUACCUCAGCGCCCUUUCGGAUUUUCACUAAGGUUAUCCCCACCCCUUUUCUUAUUUUUUCUUUUUCUUCUUGUUUUGUUUUUCCCUUUUUUUCUUUUCUUUUCUUUUUCUCUUUUUCUUCUCUUUUUUUUUGACUCUUUUUUUUUUAGAAGGUGUCCUUUCAGGUUUUCACCUAGAGACAUAGACAAGACAAUUUUAACCCCAACUGUAUCACUGCAGUCAUACUCUGAUAAUGAGUAGCAUCAGUGAGACAAUCUUCUCUGACAUGUUUCAGAAAAGUUUGUAUUUACAUCAUUUGCUAGUUGAUUAAAAAAAUUUUUUUUCAAAAUACUGCAAAAGGUGAAAUUCGACAAAGGAAAGGUUAAGGCUUGAAAGGCUUGACAGCGGAUCAUAUGAUGGGUUUGCAAUCAUUUGAGAUAGCAUUCUUUCAAAACUUACCUCGAUCUAGGGUGAGAAAGAGAUAAAAUUUGCCCCAGUUUAAUUCUGACAGAAUCUAUAUUUUCUUUUUUUUUCUAUUUUCUUUUUCUUUUUGUUUUUUUUAGAAACAAAUUGCCCCAGUAUGGGGUUAGUGAUCUUAAGGGACUGCCAAGCGAAAAGGAAAAUGGUUAUGAAAAAUCAAAAGGAAAGAAGAAAAAUUAGGGAUAGAAUAUCGAAAUGGAAAAAUGAGAGGAAGUAUGCCGAAAUCCAUCUCUUGCAGUAUUUUAAAAUUUUUUUUUAAUAAUCAAAUGAAAAACUUUUUGCACAUGUCUGCAUUGAUUGGUUGGGAAAAAACUUGACCGUCCAUUCCAUAAGAAUAAGCGCUCCUCCGGAUAGCACUUUCUUAACAAUGAAUGGUGCUUGCCAAGUGGGAGCAAACUUCCCUUUAGCCUCAUCUUGCAUUGGAAUUAUCUCCAACGUCAAACAAACGGGGCUUGACUUUUUGUUAUAAGCCCAAGCCAUUCAUUGCUGAUAACAUUGUCCAUGGCAGAUGGCAUUCAACCUCUUUUCAUCAAUCAAAAACAACUGCUCCUGACAUUUUUCGACCCAUUCAGUUUCUUCUAUCUGAGCUUCCAUCAGAAUGCGUAAGGAAGGAAUUUCAACUUCUGCAGGUAGUAUUGUUUUCAUUCUAUACAUAAGAGAGUAAGGAGUUGCACCAGUAGAAGUUCUGAUAGUAGUUCUGUAGGCCAUCAAUGCGUAAGGCAGCUUCUCAUGCCAAUCCCGGUGUGCUUCAGUCAUCUUACGAAUGAUUUUCUUCAAAUUCUUAUUUGCGGCUUCGACGGCUCCAUUCAUCUGAAGCCUAUAAAUGGCAGAAUUUCGAUGUCUGAUCUUGAACUGUUCAUAUAAUAUCCACCAUAUCAUUGUUGAGGUUUUUGGCAUUAUCAAUUAUCAACGUCUCUGGUACCUCAAAACGACAGAUGAUAUUAUUUCUCAAGAAAUCCGACACCACUUUCUUAGUCACAUGCUUAUAGGACGCGGUCUCAACCCACUUGGUGAAAUAUUCAAUCGCCACUAAAAUGAAUCGAUGACCAUUUCAAGCAGGAGGAUCAAUAGUUCCGAUCACAUUCAUUCCCCAGAUCGAACAUGGCCAUGGAGCAGUCAUACUAUGCAAUUCUAUAGGAGGAGCACGUAUAACAUCACCAUGCAUUUGACACUUAACACACUUUCUAACAAAAUCUACUCAGUCAUGCUCCAUGGUAAGCCAAAAAUAUCCUGUUCUUAUGAUCUUCUUAGCCAGUAGAUGCCCAUUCAUGUGUGACCCACAAACCCCACUAUGUACUUCUUUCAUCAUAUAACCGCCUUCCUCUUCAUUGAUGCAUUUUAGAAGGCCCAAAUCAGAUGUUUUCUUGUAUAGCACUUCUCCAUUCAAGAAGAAUCUUGAUGAUAUUCUGCGUAAGAAACUUUUUGCAACAGAAUCAGUAUCAGGAGGGUAGGAUCCAGUUUUCAUGAAUUCCUUAAUAUCAUUGUACCAUGAGCGAUCAUCAGUGACCCUUUCCGUAAUCAGACAAUGCGUUGGCCUAUUCUGAAGUUGAAUCUAUAUAGGUUCAAUCACCAGUUCAUCGGGAUGUUGGAUCAUCGAAGACAGAAUAGCUAAAGCAUCAGCAAAGGCAUUAUGAGUGCGGGGAAUAUGUCUGAGUUCCAAAUUCCUGAAUUUGCUGGCCAAACUAAGCAAGUUAUAAUGAUACAACAUAAUUUUUGAAUCCCGAGUUACCCACUGCUUAAGCGUCUGGUGCACAAGUAAAUCAGAAUCACUGAAUGCUAUCAGGUCUUUGAUCUCCAUGUUCAAUGUCAUUUUCAAUCCAAAAAUAUAAACUUCAUACUCAGCCAUGUUGUUGGUACAAGAAAACUGUAAUUUGGCGGUAGCAGGAUAAUGUUUUCCUUCAAGCGACACUAAAACUGCUCCAAUUCCAGCUCCGAGAGAGUUUGACGCACCAUCAAAAAAUAACCUCCAUUCAAGAUACUACUCACUCAUGUUCUCAACUGCUCCAACGAACAGAAUUUCUUCAUCAGGAAACUAGGUAUGCAAUGGUUGGUAAUCAUCAUCUCUUGGAUUUUCUGCCAAAUGAUCUGCUAUAACUUGACCCUUGACUGCCUUUUGUGUUGUGAAAACAAUAUCGAAUUCGGAAAGGAUCAUUUGCCACUUAGUCAUAUGUCCCGUGGGCAUCGACUUUUCCAACAGGUAUUUUAGAGGAUCAGAACGGGAAAUCAAGUAAGUGGUAUAACCGAGCAAAUAAUGUCUCAACUUCUGAGCUGUCCAUGCUAAAGCACAACAACUUCUCUUACUUAGAUAGUAGACGGCUUGUUCCUUUCUCCCAGACUCGUCAUGCUGUCCCAGAACUCAUCCAACAGCCUCAUUAAGAACAGACAAAUACAUAAUCAGAGGUCUCCCUGACUGAGGUGGCACUAAGACUGGAGGAUUUAACAAAUAAUUCUUGAUCUUAUCCAAAAGCCUACUGACAAUCUUCAUUCCAAUCCAUCGGCGCAUUCUUUUUCAACAGUUUGAACAAAGGCUCACAGGUAGAGGUUAACUGUGCAAUGAAUCGGCCAAUGAAAUUGAUCUUUCCAAGAAAACUCUUCACAUCUUUUUGACAUUUUGGAAUGGGCAUAUCUCGAAUUGUUUUUAUUUUCGCAGGAUCUAUCUCUAUACCCUUUUUGCUGACAAUAAAACCCAAUAACUUACCAGCCGGAGCACCAAAAGCACAUUUUGCAGGGUUCAAUUUCAAAUUAUACUUCCUCGAUCUUUCAAACAGCUUCUUUAAAUCAACGAAAUGGUCCUCGACCUUUUUGGAUUUAAUUAUAAUAUCAUCCACAUAGACCUCCAUCUCUUUGUGAAUCAUGUCAUGGAACAGGGUAGUCAUGGUUCUCUGAUAAGUGGCUCCAGCAUUCUUCAACCGAAAGGCAUCACUCUAUAACAAAAGAUUCCUCAUGGGGUGAUAAAAGAGGUUUUCUCUCUGUCUUUUUCUGCCAUUAAGAUUUGAUGAUACCCAGCAAAACAAUCACCAAAAAAUUCAAUUUCAUGCCCAGCAGUAUUGUCCAAAAGAAUAUGAAUGCUUGGCAAAGGAAAAUCAUCUUUCGGACUGGCCUUAUUCAGAUCUUUGUAAUCAACACAUACUCGCACCUCCCCAGAUUUCUUAGGCACUGGCACAAGAUUCGAUAGCCAGAUGGGGUAAUGAGACACCAUGAUUAUCUUAGCAUUGAGCUGUUUCACAAUUUGUUCCUUUAUUUUGAGAUUCAUUUCUGGUUUGAAUUUACGUGGCUUCUGCUUUACAGGUAAAAAAUUUGGAUCAGUUGGCAACAUGUGAACCACUAUGUCUGUAGAGAUCCCUGGCAUAUCAUCGUAUGACCAUGCAAACACAUCUUGAAAAAGCAUUAAGAAUUCAAUCAUUUCCUCCUUCUGUUUCCUAUUCAAAUGAAUGCUGACUUUAACUUCUUCAGUCUCCGUCUUAGUGCCAAUAUUGAUGAUUUCUGUUUCUUCUAAGUUGGGUUUGGGUUUCUCUUCAUACUGUUUUAAAUCCCUUGAAAUAGACUCAAAUUCUUCCUCAGUAUCGCUCUAAAUUGAAUUUCAGAUUGCAUGAUUUCAAGUUCAUGAGAGAUAUCGAGAUUGCAGCCAUCGAAUUCCAAAAUGGUGACAUUCAAAGGGUCAAAGGAUUUUAUUUGUGGCCAUCUGAAAAUAGAAUAGAACAUAAGUAAUAAAUAAAUAGCAAAUACUGGAGAAGUCUUUCAUUUCAUUAAAUUCAAAAUGCAUCAAGACUUUACAAAAAGAUAAAUAUACAGAUAUGAUUGCUAUUUAAAGACAUAUUUAACAAAAACCUUUAUUUUCGUUUCAGCAAUUUUCUUGAACAAAGCAAGUUAUAUUAACUGAAACAAGAAUAAAGGUUUAAAAGAUGAAAGCAAUUUCUUUUAACAAAAGAUCCAGACUACUGUCCUAUCUGGAUAUGAUCUAGACAAAAAACAAUUCCCUCAAAUUUACUGAAAUUUCCUUCGAGAGGAAGGUAAUCAGCAGUCCAAUUCUUAAUAGCUCCUUCGGUAAUUGGCAAAAAUUCUGCAUUCUCUGAUGGCCCCUCCUCACAAGUAGCCCCGACAAAUAGCUGAGAUAGGUCCACUUCAAUCUCCUCCACAGGAUUCUUCGUUCCUGGCAUAAUCACCUCUAAUGGACGAGGAAAAGUGUGAUGUAGCGGAAGGAUAUUUAAGGCAGUUUGCUUGCCCUUCUUUUCAGCUUGUUUUCGAGCUUGCAUUUCCUUUCUGUCCUUAGCAGUUGGAUGAAUCCCAGUCCAAAUGUAUCCUUUUGCGUCGGGAUCUCUAUCGGCUCCAAAAUUCCUUGCAAUUCUCGCCCAAAACCUCUUCCUAUUUCAUAUCCGCCUCAGAUCAUCUCUCUCGCCAUCAUAAUAUUGGCCUCUGGCAAAUUUGAUUGAGUCAACGACUUAUCCCUAGAUGCCCAUCCCACAGAGACUAUGUCAGCAACAUGAUGAGAUGAAAUUGGAGUCCCUUUUCUGUCUUCACCUUUGAAUUUUGCAUCAAUGAUCAUGGUACAGUCAUCCUCAGCAAAUACAGUAAUGAGCUGAUCAUUCACAAUAAAUCUCAACAUUUGAUGCAGAGAAGAUGGCACUGAAUUGGAAGCAUGUAUCCAAGGUCUUCCAAGUAAAAUGUUGUAAACACUGGAGAAAUCCAUUACUUGGUAAGUAACUUGAAAUUGAGCAGGGCCUAUCUCCAAUAUCAACUCUAUUUCACCCAUAGAUUCCCUUCUUGAACCAUCGAACCCCCUAACCACGGUUGCAGACGGACGGAGUUUAACAUCAAGAAAUCCAAGUUUAGUGAGAGUGUUCCAUGGACAGAUAUUCAGCGCCGACCCAUUAUCCACCAAAACCCUCGGCAGCAGCUUUCCAUUGCAGCGGACUGAUAUAUGUAAGGCUCUGUUAUGUCCAAUCCCUUCUGCAGUCAGAUCAUCAUCGGAGAAGGCGAUAUGAUUAGCGGCAAGUACAUUACCCACAAUGUUAGAAAACUUAUCCACAAGAAUAUCUUUAGGGACUUGGGCCUCGUUCAAGAUUUUGAGCAAUGCUUCUCUGUGUAAUUCGGAGGUAAAGAGAAGAUUCAAAAAAGAGAUCUGAGCAGGCAUCCCAUCCAACUGCUCCACUGUUUUGUACUCGUUUCUCUUCAGCAUCUUUAGAAAAUCCACAGCUUCCUUUUCAGACACAAGAGACCUGGGCAUCAGGGAUUUAAUCUUGGCCCUGGAUUGAACAUCGAUUUCGGGGCUUCCCACAAAUUUUCCAGGCCUAGUAAUAUUAGAUACCUCCUCCUUCAAGCAAUAUUUGUCUCCAAUUAACAGACUAGACUCCUCGUAGUUCCACGGUACCUCUUGCAAGUUAUUGACAGGCAUUUGCUCUGGAAAUUCGAGAAUGGCAAGCUCUGAUAUAUCCCAUUCAAAAGAUGAUAGAUCCAAAAUAAAAGGAACUUCAGAAUUGUCAGCCUCGGAAGGCCCUCCUUCUACCAUAAACAGCUCCUCUUUCUCAAACACAAAAGAUUUUAACUUUUCCUCAGCAUUAUCCUUAGUUAUGGACUCUUCAAUAGACAGUAGUUUCCUCAUCUCCGCAUGGUCAGUCUCUAUCAUGCCAAACACUUCAGUUUCAUCUACAAUGUACUGACUGGGGUCGACAAAAUCUUCAUCAGCAAUGAUAACCCCUACAGUGCUCCCAUGCUCAGGUAAAGGAUUCUUACUAACAUUCGAUCCUUGCUCUCCCUUUCUUCUGAGAAGGAUGUCUCCAGAGUCAAUCAUAUCCUGAAUCUUAUGUUUUAAAGCCCAACAAUUGCCAGUGGUAUGACCUGGACUUCCAGAAUGAUAAGCACAACUUGCAUGCGCAUCAUAACCUGGAGGAAUGCCUUUGGGAUAAAGUUUAGGAGGGACGGUGCCAAUUUUCCCAGCUGCUUUUAACUGCUCGUACAAUUGAUCAAUUGGUCAGCCCAAAUUGGUGAAAGUUUGAAAUUGUUUCUGAGUUUGAACUCCAUUGGUUUGAAAAGGAUUUUGAGGAGGGUUAUUAUUUUGCAGGGUUGGUCUGGGAUGGUAAAUGGGGCGAGUGUGAUUUUGAAAGACGGGUUGUGGGGUUGGAGGUAACGGUGAGGUAUUCAAGUGAUUUGAUCAGGAAUAAUGGAAUUGGGUAGUAGUGUGGUAGACUGGUUGAGGGUUAGGAUAAUACGGGUAAGGAACAGAAUAGGUGGGAUGGUUUCGGAUUCUGGGUCUGAAAGAUGGACCCUGAUCCCAUAUAAAAGCAGUUUCUCCUUCUUUCUUCUUGAAUGGGGGCUUUUUCCCAUUGUUGCUUUGAUUUUGUAAAGCAUCUAAUUGCAACUUUAAUGCAGACACAUUAACAAUCUUCCCUGCCUUGACAAAUUCAUCGUAUUCCUCCAACUUGUUAAUAAUGGCAGCAAAUGAACUUCCAGUCAUGCAAAAGAUCUCUUCAAAGUAGGGUGGAUCGUGAGCUUUGAUGAAGGUACGAACAAUCUCCUCCUCAGUCAUAGGAGGCUCCACUUUGGCAGCUAAUUUUCUCCACCGCUUUGCAUAGGUCUUGUGGUCUUCCGAUCGCUUUCUUUUUAUACCUUCCAGUGUUGUGCAUGGUGCCAAUUCACAAUUAAACUCAUAUUGCUUCACAAAGGCUGUUGACAAAUCCAACCAGGUUUUGACCUCUUCAGACUUCAAGUUUGAAUACCAAUCUAGAGCAUCUCCUUCCAAACUUUCCGGAAAUAGACGCAUAGGCAAAUUCUCAUCGUCUACGGGUUUACCUAACUUGUUGUCGAACAUCUUGAGAUGCGUCUUAGGAUUUCCAGUUCCAUCAUACUUGCUGAAUUUAGGGGUUUUGAAUCCCAACAGUAGCUGAAUACCGGGAAAAAGACACAAUUCAUCGUAAUCUAACCCACCAUGUCUGCUCAAUCCUUGAUUCUUUCUCAUAAAAUCAUCGAAUCGAUAUAACCUUCUUAACAGAUCUUUGUCAAUGGGUAUAGGUUGUUCUUCUAUCGCCGUCUUCCCUUGAGAUGCAGUAUCCAGUACAAAAAGGCUUUGCAGUAUGGUGGUGGGGUCCCUGAGGGUUGGGGGGACAUUCAGAUUGGUUUGUGGAUGGAUUUGAGGGAUUUGGCUACUGGUUGGGUUCAUCAAUACAUAAUUCGGAUGCAUAUAGGAAAAAUCUAAAUUUAGUCGGGUAAAGGUAUUUUCAAGAGGGUUAGCGAAAAGGAGGAGGGAAAGGUGUUUGGGUAGUGGAUGUGUGGGGUGGUUGAUAGUCUUGUGCAGGUGGGUGAUUAUCGAUAGGUUCUUGAUCGUUUGGGACACCACCACCAUUGUUGCUGGGGACCAACUGAUCAAUUACACGCCUUUGUGCAGCCAUUUCAGCACUUAACUCAUUGAACUUACCAAGCACCUCACUUAAUUGAGCUCCCAAUGCUGUGAAGUCCGGUGAUGUCACUAUAGCAGAUCUUUCCGAAGUUUCUGGUACUGAACUCAUGUUUACAGACUGUCUCAAGGCUUUACUUCGGGACCUGGUGAUGGCAUUUCUUCGGGUAGCUAUUGUGAAAAAUACCUGAUAAUGGAGAAAAGAAACUGAUUUAGGAUUGGAUUUUCUGUCAAAUUGCUGUAAUUUAUUCAAGAAAAAGAAAAAGAAAAAAAAAUAUGAGUUAGUAGAUAUUUAAAUAAUUCGGAUGCAUGUCUUAUGGGGGAGCCCUUUUGUGCCAAGGGUAGGCCUAACAUGAUGCAACACUUUCGGAAUGAGACCCGUUGAUCAAACCUGUUAUUGACAAUCAUUUUGUAAAAAAGGAGAGGUGUCAUUUCAUUGCAAAAUACCAAGUACAUUUGUUUACAUCAUGUCACGAAGGCGGCUUCGUACAAGGUCACCAAAAUUUCUGAGCCUAUCUAGUACAAAAUCUUUAGUUUCUCUAGCAUACGGAAUCUUGACACGUUCGGCUUGAUCAUGUAAUUCCCUACAUUUUCGCUUCAUCUCUUGGCGCUUUUCUCGCUCAUUUUCAUAUAACCUUUUGUUUUCCUCUGCCCUUUCCUUUUGUGCCUCAGCGGAUUUCAACUGUAGAACCUCCUUGUCCUUGGCUUCAAUAAUGGCUUUCAACUUCUUGAUCUCCUCAUAUGGCUCACAUUGCAACUCUUGCGUGGUGGAGUUUCUUAACCAACCCUCAUAUUGUGAAGUUGCUACACCCUUCUGUUUGAGCUCCGGAAGAUAACUAAUGCAUCUAUCAUCGGAUAUUGUUCUCCAAACUUCGGUGAUUUGGCUCUUCAUAGGGAUCUCUCUUGGACAUACUCCCUUAUCAAAAAAGACGGUGACUUCACUCAAUUCAGAUGCAGACGGUAGUCCCUGGAUGCGACCUAGUUGUCUGAGAAACCUCUUCGGGGUAUAUGAGAUGAUUCCUUGAGUACCUAGCAAAAGAACACAUUCUGACGCCUUAGUGUGAAGUACUGGUUUAAAAUAGUCCGUCCAAUCUAAUACCCACCUAAUGUCAUGAUCUUGCAACAUUUCCCAAGUAAUCCACAUAUUCGGAUGCGUUCUUCGGUAGACCCUCUUCAUUGAAUCUUUUGUGAUGUGUAACUAUCCAAUUGUAUCCAACUACCGGCAAGCUAUUGGCAAUAGAUGAUCGUCUCCUAAAAUGCCCCAUGGCCCAUAUAUGUAGAACCAAAUUUGCCCCAUAAAAGAACUUUUCUCCCUUUUUGCAACUAUUACAGGCUAAAAGGAUGUCUGCGAGAAUGGUCGGGACUAUAGAGCAUUGUUUAUCCUGGAUUCCCAAAAAAAGAUCAUUCACAAUUUUUGCUAAUUUGAAAGCUAUCUUCUGAUAUUUCCUCGGGAAGAAAUAGAUCCCAGCCAUAGCUAUUCCAUAUACUAAUGGCCUUUUGUGCUCCUAUAUGUCUUUGGAGGUGAGCGCAAAAUCUUUCACAUGCCUCUCAAACCCAUCGCGUGGCGCAAAACGUUCAAACGGAAUAUUCACGGCGACGCCCUGGUCUGGUCCUCGUAAUACCGACUCUUUCAAUCCUAUGAUUUUGCAAAAUUCUGCCUUGUCUAAAGUGGACGGAAAAACCAAGGCAGUUCCAUGCAUGGGUAGAUUAAGGAGGCCAGCUACUUCCUCGAGUGUUAUAGUCAUUUGCCUAUUACCUAUUCUAAAAGCAGAACACUCUAGGUCCCAAAGAUGCACUAAGGCCUCUAUCAAAUAACCGUCGGGUUUGAUUUCCUUAAAGUCUCCAAUCGGUCCUAAAUAUUGGGCUACUUGAUGCAAUUCACUGGGUAGCAUGAAGGUAGGCCAUCUUUGAACCUCAGUCGAUGAUAUCAACAACUGAUAAAUUCGACGAGGGCAAUCCAUCUAAAAAUGGAAAAAGUAGUUUGUCAAUUACCUUACCUACGAGUCUCAUUCCUCCAGUUAGGCGAUAAUUUAAACGUGCAGUCCCUUGAAGGGUUAAAUACCCACGGGAAAAACAAAGGUUGGCUUUAUUCCUAAACGGGAUUCCCUACGUGGCGUUCCCUCUCUAGGGUUUAUGCAUCAUGCCAUUUUAUUAAAGCAGGUAAAUAUGAAAUGUAACCUAAAAGGAUCCCCUUUUAAAUGCUGGGGUAAGCCUAAAAUGAUACGUUAUUAUGCUACAAAUGCAAUGCAUUGAAAUUUAAACGUGUCAUAACAGGAUGGCUCCUAAGGAGUACCAUGCCAGGACUCCUAUUUUCUAGGGUUUAUGAAUGCAAUGGAGACAAAAGCCACGAAAAGUUAGUUCAAUUAGACAAAUACACAUAACACAUUUAUAGCAAAGCAAUACAAAGAGGUAAAGCAAUAAAAGGAAUAGAGGGGUUGGAUCCCUCCUCUCGUGAAUGGUGUCCCUAAUAGGGUAAGGCAGACUCUACCCUAGACAAACUACCAUGGAUGAAUGUAUUGGCUCACUAAUGCAUCUAGACUCGAUAGGUUUUAGGUCCUCGAGCCUUCAGACUCGUGGCCAAGGGUCAUCAAUUCCAAGGCCUUUUGUCGGUGGCUCGAGCGAUUCCCCAAACACCGCUACGCACACAUCGUGUCACGGCUACGUGUUUGAGUGAAUCUAUAAAAAAUUCUCAACCUUCGAGUAAAAGCUAAAGGCUAUCAACCCAAAGGUUAAAGCGGAAGAUUGAGUGACCCCUCGGAUUAUGUUACGUACACAUCGUGUCGCGAUCACACGUCCAAGUGGGUCGCCUAAUCCUAAUUGGGUGGAGUGGCGUGACAAGCCACUAAAAAAAAAUAAAUGAGAGAUAAAAAUAAAGCGUAUGCACGUAUGCUAGUGCUUCAUUUGGAGGGGAGGGAUCGAGAACCAACGCAAGGCUCUAGGGUAAAAUCCCCCACCCAAAUGCAAUGCAAAGCGCGGGAUAACAUAAAUAGACCAUUCAUCCAUCAAAUCAAUCGUACGCAAAUGGGUGAGGGAGUGAGUGGGUACGCGCGAAAUGCAAAAAAUCCUAAAAAAGAAAAAAUGCAACCCUAAACAUCCAAAUGCGAUACAUGAAAAGGGUAGAAAAGAAAAAGAAUAACUAAAUCAAAUGCUCGGACCCACUUAGGAAGUCCCCAGUGGAGUCGCCAAGUUGUCGCGCCCCAUUUUUCGCGAUGGAAAAUAAAAGGAGUUUAUAAAAAGAUGUGAUUUUAUUUUAAAACAAGUGAAAUUUUAAAACAAGUGAAAAAUGACCUAGAAUGGGACUUAAAAAAAUGCGACAAUUUGGGUCCAAAAUUUAGUCUAAAAGGGUUUUUAAGAAAAAUAGGAGUCGCCACUUGGUAUUGAGUUUUGGUGUACCAAAUCACCCCAAAAUAAAGUAAAAUAAAAUAAAACCCUUUUUGACAACUCUAGGUCUUUGAAAACAAGAGAAAAUGAAUUCGGGAGUUACGGUUGAAGAAAGGGAAGGCAAAUGUUCGAUUAACUUAAACCUAAAGCACCCUUUCAACCUAAUCUAAGCUAGUUACGAGGUUUAGUCAAAAUUUUCCUAAUCUAACCCUUAAUUUUAUCAUAUUUGGAUGUUUCCUACAUGAAUGGAAAUCUAAAUUUAUAAAAAUAUCGAAAGGGACAAAAUGUUCAUUCAAGGGUUUAAUUGAACCAAUUGCGUUAAUUGCAAAGGGCAAAAUAAUUCCUUGAAGGUGCCACGAGUAUGCAAAUGAUGAAAUUAAAAGAAAAGAAAAGAAAUUAAAUUAUAUACAUAGAUAUAAGUGAUCAAAGAAAAAGGAAUGCAACAUAAAAGGUACGGGAGGUAAAAACUCGUGACAUAAUUUUCUUAUAUAGGGAUUAAUGGGGUAUUUAAACUAAAAAGUUAUAAUCACCCAUUUCCCAUGUUUGAAAAAUAAUUCUCCUAAUAUGCACAAGCAAAUGAGCUAACUUAUUAUACAACGUCCUAAAUGAAAUACAAUUCUAAAUGACAUGAUUAACACAUAUAGAGGAUAGGGGAUAAUAUAAUAGGGAAUAUCAUGCAAAUGAGAAAAGAUCUUAAAAAUGAAAAUAUGCAUGAAAAUGUAGUGAAUAGCACACAAAGAUGAAUCUAGCGCAAGACAACCUAAAGGGUCUAGCGUUGAACUAGCCCAUUUCUAAAAAUCCUUACUAGCGUUGGACUAGCAAGUAAGCGGAGGGGGAAACCACAACUAGCGUUGGACUAAUGUGGUGACAUCAUGCAUUAAUAGUACAUAGUAAAACAAAUAAAAUAUAAAUUAAAACAAAUAAACACAUAAAAGCACGUAGCACAUAACACGUAAAUAUAAUAUCUAGAUGCAAAAAAAAAUCCUAAGGAAAGCGGGUAAGGCACAUAACACGCAACCUACCUAUUACAUCGGGGCGCCUAACUACAACUCUAAAAGGAAAAAUAUAAUACAACAAAUUUAAUUAUCCUAUCUAUUACAUUUUUGAGGUAUUUAAAUGCCUCUCAAAUAAUUAUAAAAUUAACUAAACAAACAUAAGAAAAUUUAAAUGAACAUUCAAAUCAAAUAAACAAAGCAUAUAAAAAUAUAUAAACACAUAGGAGCACGUAGGAGCACAUAAGAGCAUGUAAUUAACAUUGAAAUAAUAAUAGGAAUACCUCCUUUUUGAAGCGAUGACUAAAUGGGAGUCAAAUUGCUCUAUUUAUACUCAAAAUGAACAAAAGAAUCAUGACACCAAUUUAAUUGAAAAUAAUAAUAAUGAUAGAAAAUACUAAAUUAACCUUAACAUUUCAAAUGUAAGGAAAUUUAAGAACAUCUAAAAUUACAAGUUAAAUAUACUCAAAAGUAACAUAUUAGUUAUUAAAGAAAAGUAGCAAUUAUAAUGAAGAAAGACAAAACUCACCGGAGACUAAAUUGCAAAAAUUGAAAAUUUUUGGGGACAAAAAUUAUAUUUUUCAAAGUUUAGGGGGUCAAAAUUAAAUGAAAGAUAAAAUUCAGGGAUCAGAGUGCAAUUAAUUUAAGGACCUAAGUGAAAGAAAUUUAAAAUGUUCUGGGCCACGGUGAAACUACUCCAAAAAUUAGGGGCUAAAGUGCAAGUUCGUUUCUGAUUAGGGCAAGAAAAGAGCAUCGGGCCUCCCUUUUUAUUUUACUUGGGCCGAACCUACCUAAGCCCAACUGAACGCCCAAGCCAAAACACACAGGCCAGCCCAUCUUUUAUCACUCAAACCCAGCCAAAAUACAUGGUCUCCAACCUCUUAGCCCAACAGAAAACCCAAAAGAAAAUAAACCAGAACCCAAGUCAAAACCUAACUAAAAAAAAACAAGCCCACUACAAAAAAUUAGCCCAAACCAUUUUUCUUUCUUUUCUUUUUCUUCUCUUCUUCUUCUUUUCUUUCUUUCCCGUUCGUUCCUCCUCCUUCUCUGACCAUCUGAGGCUUACUUCAGUUGGCGGCCAUGGUGGCCGCAGGUGGCGCCGGUCGCCGGCGACCUCUCUGGUCACCAAAAAUUAUCAAAAUACACACCCCAAUUCGAUUUUUUCGCAUAGAUUCCGUUUUUGAAGUUAGUUUUUACAAAAAAAGAAAGAAAAGUGGCCAAAUGGCCAAAAAACAGCUGCAUUUUUUUAUUAUUUUUAGACCUUUAAACCUUCACCAAAAAUUCAUAAAAAUAUAUUACAACACUCCUUAUAAUCUUUACAUUACAACUAUAAACUUAGCUAACAAGAAAACAACAACAAAAGACUACAUUAAGGCAAAACAGUUUCUAAAAUUCAUUUUUUUUUAUUUUGGCAUUUUUUCAAACAAUUAACAUGCAUUCACAAAAAAAAAA